rnacentral:piRNA from 1 species
UGCUUCUGAUCACUGCACAUCUCUGUCAA